rnacentral:rRNA from 1 species
GUCCAGACUCCUACGGGAGGCAGCAGUGGGGAAUAUUGCACAAUGGGGGAAACCCUGAUGCAGCGACGCCGCGUGAGUGAAGAAGUAUUUCGGUAUGUAAAGCUCUAUCAGCAGGGAAGAAAAUGACGGUACCUGACUAAGAAGCCCCGGCUAACUACGUGCCAGCAGCCGCGGUAAUACGUAGGGGGCAAGCGUUAUCCGGAUUUACUGGGUGUAAAGGGAGCGUAGACGGCAUGGCAAGUCAGAUGUGAAAGCCCGGGGCUCAACCCCGGGACUGCAUUUGAAACUGUCAGGCUGGAGUGCAGGAGAGGUAAGUGGAAUUCCUAGUGUAGCGGUGAAAUGCGUAGAUAUUAGGAGGAACACCAGUGGCGAAGGCGGCUUACUGGACUGUAACUGACGUUGAGGCUCGAAAGCGUGGGGAGCAAGCAGGAUUAGAUACCCUAGUACCC